AUUGAACGCUGGCGGCAUGCCUUACACAUGCAAGUCGAACGGCAGCACGGGAGCAAUCCUGGUGGCGAGUGGCGAACGGGUGAGUAAUAUAUCGGAACGUGCCCAGUCGUGGGGAUAACGUAGCGAAAGCUACGCUAAUACCGCAUACGAUCUAUGGAUGAAAGCGGGGGAUCGCAAGACCUCGCGCGAUUGGAGCGGCCGAUAUCAGAUUAGGUAGUUGGUGAGGUAAAGGCUUACCAAGCCGACGAUCUGUAGCUGGUCUGAGAGGACGACCAGCCACACUGGGACUGAGACACGGCCCAGACUCCUACGGGAGGCAGCAGUGGGGAAUUUUGGGACAAUGGGCGCAAGCCUGAUCCAGCAAUGCCGCGUGCAGGAUGAAGGCCUUCGGGUUGU
rnacentral:rRNA from 1 species